UGGUAGCUCAGUGGUUAAAACAUUGGACUACCGAUCAGAAGGUCAUGAGUUUAAAUCUCAGCACCAG
rnacentral:tRNA from 1 species